rnacentral:rRNA from 1 species
UACAGAGGUCUCAAGCGUUGUUCGGAUUCAUUGGGCGUAAAGGGUGCGUAGGUGGCAUGGUCAGUCGGAUGUGAAAUCCCGGGGCUCAACCCCGGAACUGCAUUCGAUACUGCCGAGCUAGAGUACUGGGAGAGGAUGAUUGAAUUACGGUGUAGCAGUGAAAUGCGUAGAUAUCGUAAGGAAGACCAGUGGCGAAGGCGGAUCUCUGGACAGUUACUGACACUGAGGCACGAAGGCCCAGGGGAGCAAACGGG